rnacentral:rRNA from 1 species
AGAAUCAUUCACAAUGGGCGAAAGCCUGAUGGUGCGACGCCGCGUGGAGGAUGACAGCCCUAGGGUUGUAAACUCCUGUCAUGAGAGAGUAAAGACUUAACGUUAAUAGCGUUGGGUCCUGAUAGUAUCUCAAGAGGAAGGGACGGCUAACUUCGUGCCAGCAGCCGCGGUAAUACGAAGGUCCCAAGCGUUGUUCGGAAUUACUGGGCGUAAAGCGUGCGUAGGUGGCAUGGUAAGUCAGAUGUGAAAUCCCGGGGCUCAACCCCGGAACUGCAUCCGAUACUGCCAAGCUAGAGUAGUGGAGGGGAGUCUGGAAUUCACGGUGUAGCAGUGAAAUGCGUAGAUAUCGUGAGGAACACUAGUGGCGAAGGCGAGACUCUGGACACUAACUGACACUGAGGCACGAAGGCUAGGGUAGCGAAAGGGAUUAGAUACCCCUGUAGUCCUAGCAGUAAACGGUGCGCGUUUGGUGUGGGCGGGUUCGACCCCGUCCGUGCCGAAGCUAACGCGUUAAACGCGCCGCCUGGGGAGUACGGCCGCAAGGCUAAAACUCAAAGAAAUUGACGGGGACCCGCACAAGCGGUGGAGUAUGUGGCUUAAUUCGAUGCAACGCGAAGAACCUUACCUAGGCUUGACAUGCUUGUCGUAGUUCUGUGAAAGCAGAUCGUCAGUUCGGCUGGACUUGCACAGGUGCUGCAUGGCUGUCGUCAGCUCGUGUCGUGAGAUGUUGGGUUAAGUCCCGCAACGAGCGCAACCCCUAUGAUUAGUUGCCAGCGAGUAAUGUCGGGGACUCUAGUCAGACUGCCUGUAUUAAACAGGAGGAAGGUGGGGACGACGUCAAGUCAGUAUGGCCCUUACGCCUAGGGCUGCACACGUACUACAAUGCCCAGUACAAUGUGAACCGAUACCGUAAGGUGGAGGAAAUCCUUAAAACUGGGCUCAGUUCGGAUUGUGGGCUGCAACUCGCCCACAUGAAGCUGGAAUCGCUAGUAAUGGCACAUCAGCUACGGUGCCGUGAAUACGUUCCCGGGUCUUGUACACACCGCCCGUCACAUCAUGGAA